rnacentral:rRNA from 1 species
GACGGAGGAUGCAAGCGUUAUCCGGAAUGAUUGGGCGUAAAGCGUCCGCAGGUGGCACUUCAAGUCUGCUGUCAAAGACCGGGGCUUAACCCCAGAAAGGCAGUGGAAACUGAAGUGCUAGAGUGCAGUAGGGGUAGAGGGAAUUCCCGGUGUAGCGGUGAAAUGCGCAGAUAUCGGGAGGAACACCAGUAGCGAAGGCGGCUCGCUGGGCCAUUCCUGACGCUGAGACGCGAAAGCGUGGGGAGCAAAC